GACGAACGCUGGCGGCGUGCUUAACACAUGCAAGUCGAACGGAAAGGCCUCUUUCGGGGGGUACUCGAGUGGCGAACGGGUGAGUAACACGUGAGUAACCUGCCCUUGACUUUGGGAUAACUUCAGGAAACUGGGGCUAAUACCGGAUAGGAGCUCCUGCUGCAUGGUGGGGGUUGGAAAGUUUCGGCGGUUGGGGAUGGACUCGCGGCUUAUCAGCUUGUUGGUGGGGUAGUGGCUUACCAAGGCUUUGACGGGUAGCCGGCCUGAGAGGGUGACCGGCCACAUUGGGACUGAGAUACGGCCCAGACUCCUACGGGAGGCAGCAGUGGGGAAUAUUGCACAAGGGGUGGAAGCCUGAUGCAGCAACGCCGUGGGCGGGAUGACGGCCUUCGGAUUGGAAACCGCUUUCGCUCAUGACGAAGCUUUGUGUGACGGUAGUGGGUAAAGAAGCACCGGCUAACUACGUG
rnacentral:rRNA from 1 species